rnacentral:lncRNA from 1 species
CCCGGGGCGUGACCGGCCUCACGUGACCUGAUGUCACGUGACAGAACCCGCACGUGAUCCGACCUGCGAUGCUGAGGGGAGGAAGCUGCGGAAGUGGACUGGGACUGGAGUUUGGGGUUCUACCCUAGGUUGGGGCGGAGGAAGCUGGAGGAUAGGGGCUGACGCCAGGAACGCUGCAGAGGCGGGUUGGGCGGGGGGCGCUGCCGCCCAAGGCCCGAGGCAGCGGCGCGGGAUCGGCCAAAGCACCGGCCGCCAGUUCGGCGGGUCUGGAGAGAGGGGACCUCAAGCAGCCAGUGGAGCAACCAGCCUGGGAGCCUUCGACGUAGGCGCUGUGGGCGAAGGAAAAGGCCUGGCCUGCUGCCUCUUCUCUUGCAGCAAAAUCCGCUGCUGUGAAGGAGCUGGUAGGCGGACGCUCUGUAGAUAAGAGAAUCCCUGAUCUGCCUGGGCAUCAUCUUGCUCUUUAUGACCUGCUUGGCUGCCACUGUGUAGGGCCUGCUUAAAGUCCUUUGCACUCUCAGCAUUCCCCUCAAGUUCAAGGACAAGCUUCUCAUUAUGGCAGGCAUAAAACUCUUUAUAAUUCGUCCUCCACUCUCCCAGCUCAGGGCUCCAGCUGUUGUCUCACACUUCCUUGAAGUUCCCUCUGCUGAGUCGCCCUUGUGCCUGACCAACUUACUUACUAAAAUAAAAAUCCCAAUUUCUUUCCAGUCAUGUGUGCCCAAGGGCGAGUUAUUUAACUUUUCUGAGCUUUCCUCAGUAAAACGAAGCUACAUAUCUUGCAAGGAUGUGAUAUUAAAGUUAUGAUAUUGUAAAACAGGUGCCACGGUGCUUGGCCUAGGGUGAGCCUUCAACCUAGAACAUACCACUGUCCCCAUGCACCUUGCUCACACACCCAAUCCCAGACUUUUCUUUUGUAGUCACCUCAGUUAUCACCUCAUUAAAUAACCUGAUUACCCCAA